UUAAAUGGAUAAAAUAUGAAGUUUUAUUAAAAGAAAAAGGGGUGAAAAGAACAAAGUUUUGUCCAUCUUUGUUCAUCAUAGCUGAAAGUUAGAGAAGAGAAAUGAGAGGAGAAAGCUCUUGAGUAUUUGGUCAUUAGGAGGAGGAAAAUUGAAGGAAAUCCCCAACCAUAGUGGGCUUGGAGCUGUGAGGGAAUUCGAAGUGGCCACCCGUUCUGAAAGUUUGAUUUUCUUCUAGUGAACUGGACAUCAUUUUAUUACGUUUAAGGUUUUGGGCUUUUAAAUGUAAUAAGGCCGCUUAUUUAUUUUUGAUGGUUUUUAAUAUGUAUUACUAAGAUAGGUAAUACUUAUUUUAACUGUUGAAAUUGGAUAGCUUUAGGGCGCGUUUUCAAAAACAACAGUUGAUUUCAAAAUAACACGACAACAAGCAAAGCUUCCGCAAUGAAA